rnacentral:rRNA from 1 species
GUCUCCUGAAGGAACGUUGAAGACGACGACGUUGAUAGGCCGGGUGUGUAAGCGCAGCGAUGCGUUGAGCUAACCGGUACUAAUGAACCGUGAGGCUUAACCUA